rnacentral:rRNA from 1 species
UACGUAGGUGGCAAGCGUUGUCCGGAUUUAUUGGGUUUAAAGGGUGCGUAGGCGGUCUAUUAAGUCAGUUGUGAAAUACGGCAGCUCAACUGUCGAGGUGCAAUUGAUACUGAUGGACUUGAGUACUGAUGAGGUAAGCGGAAUGGACGGUGUAGCGGUGAAAUGCUUAGAUAUCGUCCAGAACACCGAUAGCGAAGGCAGCUUACUAAGGAGUAACUGACGCUGAGGCACGAAAGUGUGGGGAUCGAACAGG